CCUACGGGGGGCAGCAGUGGGGAAUAUUGGGCAAUGGGCGCAAGCCUGACCCAGCAACGCCGCGUGAAGGAAGAAGGCUUUCGGGUUGUAAACUUCUUUUAAGAGGGAAGAGCAGAAGACGGUACCUCUUGAAUAAGCCACGGCUAACUACGUGCCAGCAGCCGCGGUAAUACGUAGGGGGCAAGCGUUAUCCGGAUUUACUGGGUGUAAAGGGAGCGCAGGCGGCUUUGCAAGUCUGAUGUGAAAGGCCAGGGCUCAACCCUGGGACUGCAUUGGAAACUGUAAAGCUAGAGUGCCGGAGAGGG
rnacentral:rRNA from 1 species